rnacentral:tRNA from 1 species
GCGCCCGUAGCUCAAUGGAUAGAGCAUUUGACUUCGGAUCAAAGGGUUGAGGGUUCGAAUCCUUCCGGGCGUACUA